AUCAAAGAAUCCUGAAUUUUUUUUAUAUAUAUUGUGUAUAUGCCCUAUAUUACAGCAAAUCAGCAUAUUAGAAUGAUUUCUGAAGGAUCAUGUGACACUGAAGACUGGAGUAAAGAUGCUGAAAAUUCAGCUUUACAUCACAGGAAUAAAUUGCAUUUUAAAAUAUAUAAAACUUGCCUCAGGGGCAUUUACCAUUUGCAUUGAUCACCUUAGCACGUUAUCGUUUGAAUAGCGCCCUCUGCACAUGGGUGUGAUCACAUUAGGGAUAAUUAGCUGAGCCAGGAGAAACUGUACGUCGCUUAGUUUCAUACAGAUUAAAUUGCAGGAGAAUAUUUGUUUUAAAUUUGAAUUGUUUUAUUUAAAAGUAGACAUUUUAAGCUUUCUUUAGACAUGUUUCAUGUUUGUCUGAUAAGUAUUCGCGGAGGUUCAGUUCAUUUUUGUGACGUGUUUCAGAAAGAUGCUCGCAGAGACAGAGACGGCUGAAAGCACACUCUGUUUAUUUUCUUUAUUUUACACAGCACAAGAUUUUGUUGUUAUUGUGAGUGUACACAAAUAAAAGUGGACCCUUUAUAGUUUCUAAUGAUGUCUUACACUUAUCUGUAUGCCCAAAAAUGACGGAGUAUUUUAAGUUGUUUCCUCUGUUAUGAGGAAAAAAUCCAUCAGGACGUGCCGGCGUGUCCGUCGACCCCUGAGGGUUAAUGUCAUUAUGCUUACAAUCAACCCUGACCAUGGUGUUACAAUGGGUGCAGUUUUGCAAGCGUGUGUGUGUGUCAGAUUGCUGUCAUCAGCAGGAAAACAACAAAUAACUUAUAAUGUCAACAGUGACCAAAAGAUGGCUGUAGAGCUCCACUUAUUGAUGCCCUGGUUCUCUCUCUCUCUCUGUGUGUGUGUGUGUGUGUGUGUGUGUUUUGCAUUGUGAGUGUGUUAUCGUCUCACCCUUUCAUUACUGAAUGUGUGUGUUUAGCAUUGUGACUGAUUUAUUUCUUUAUUUUAUUUUUUUGACGAAUGUAAAAAAAAAAUCUCUGUGUCAUAGACUCACCAGUUCAUUUUUGUGUGUGUGUAAGUGCGUUUGUGUGUGAGUGGGUAUGUUUUGCACUGAGGAUGUUUUAGAGUCUCACCCUGUAAUUUCUGUCUGGUUUUUUUCUGCAUUGUGGCUGACUUAUUGAUUGUAAUUGACAGAUAAAAAGAAAAUUGCUCUUUUUUGUUUGUUUUUUUAAACAAUUUCAAUGGUGGUCAAUUUUGACAGCGAAUACCAAAGAUGUUUCUUUUUUUUAUUUUUGCGACAACUUAGAUUUAUCGAAUCAAGCAUAAUGUUUUUGUUUUUUUAUGUUCAGAUGGCAAAUGGAGGAAAUAUCACCAAGUCUUGUACUGCUCAGAAAAAAGAAGAAUGUUUAUUAAAUGAUGAAAAAAAUACCAUAGGAGGAUUAAGCCAUUUCCUUUUUUAAAGCUAAAAAAAAACGACUUUCUGUUUAUAAUUGUGGUUAUCUGUUUGUAGACAGUAGGUAAAUUAAUUUGGCCUUCCAGGGCCACUGUCUUAGUUUAGCUUACAUUUAAUAUCAAUUUUCAGCUUAAAAGUUCACUUACAUUUUUAUUUUAUUGUUUAAAAUACAUAAUAUAAGUUUACAAAGUAUAAUGAAUGUAGUUUUUAAGCCUGUUUAAAAGAAAACACCUGAAUGAGUUUACAUGAACAAAAUGUAUUAACAACAUAACACAAACAGCAAUUGUUUGAUAAGUACACUGGCGGGCAAAAGUUUGGAAUAAUUGGUACUUUUAUUCACCAAAGUGGCAUUCAAAUGAUCACAAUGUAUAGUCAGGACAUUAAUAACGUGAAAAAUGACUAUUACAAAUUGAAACUUCAAAGAGUUCUCAUCAAGAAAACCUCCACAUGUAGCAUUGAUAGCUUUGCAGAUCAUUGACAUCCUAGCUGUCAGUUUGUCCAGAUACUCAAGUGACAUUUCACCCCACGCUUCCUGUAGCACUUGCCAUAGAUGUGUGUGGCAGCGGGGGCGUGGUCAAGCAUCUCUCCGGAGAGAGAAAGCGGUAAGGGCGCUUACACCUGAGCUAAAUUAUGUCUAACACCUGUCUCUAAUUUCAGUGAGCACGGGGAGAGCGGCAUAAAUAGAGCCACACCGCAAGUAGACGGGAGAGAGAGCCUGGGCACUGAUUGUGAAGCCAAGAGUCUGUUGUUGCAAAGUUGAGAGUUUAUUUGUGAAAUAGCUUGUGGAUUUUAGACUGCAUUAUUGAACAGCGCAAAGGCCUUGAAAGACUGUGUUGACUGCAGUAAGGAAAAUAAACGCUUACCUGAACCAGGAAAAGCUGCUUCUCGCGUCCUCUUUACAAUGUGGCUGUCUUGUCGGGCACUUCUCACACACCUCACAGUCUAGCUGAUCCCACAAAAGCUCAGUGGGGUUAAGAUCCAUAACACACUUUUCCAAUUAUCUGUUGUCCAAUGUCUGUGUUUCUUUGCCCACUCUAACCUUUUCUUUUUGUUUUUCUGUUUCAAAAGUGGCUUUUUCUUUGCAAUUCUUCCCAUAAGGCCUGCACCCCUGAGUCUUCUCUUUACUGUUGUACAUGAAACUUGUGUUGAGCAGGUAGAAUUCAAUGAAGCUGUCAGCUGAGGACAUUUAAGGCAUCUAUUUCUCAAACUAGAGACUCUGAUGUACUGUCCUCUUGUUUAGUUGUACAUCUGGCCUUCCACAUCUCUUUCUGUCCUUGUUAGAGCCAGUUGUCCUUUGUCCAUUGUAGUGUACACCUUUGUAUGAAAUCUUCAGUUUUUUUGGCAAUUUCAAGCAUUGUAUAGCCUUCAUUCCUCAAAACAAUGAUUGACUGAUGAGUUCUAGAGAAAGCUGUUUAUUUUUUGCAACUAAUGUUGACCUUAAUACAUGCCAGUCUUUUGCAUACUGUGGCAACUCAAAAACAAACACAAUGUUAAGCUUCAUUUAAUGAAUCAAAUAGCUUUCAGCUGUGUUUGAUAUAAUGGCAAGUGAUUUUCUAGUACCAAAUUAGCAAUUUAUCAUGAUUACUCAAGAAUAAGGUGUUGGAGUGAUGGCUGCUUGAAAUGGGGCCUGUCUAGAUUUGAUCAAAAAUUACUUUUUUCAAAUAGUGAUGGUGCUGUUUUUUACAUCAUUAAUGUCCUGACUAUACUUUGUGAUCAGUUGAAUGCCACUUUGGUGAAUUAAAGAACCAAUUUCCUUCUGAAACAGCAAAAUCUGUACAUUAUUCCAAACUUUUGGUUGCCACUGUAUAUUUUAACAUUUGCAACAUUUUACAAACAUUACACAUAAUACAUAUGCAUGAAUUUUUUUUUUUUUUUACAUAAAGGACAACUUUACCACAGUCAAAUUGUUGUAAUUGAGCAAUCUUUAAAUUGAGUAAUAAUUAAAUCUAGGGAUGUCUUGAUAUCGAUACUGGUAUCGGAAUCGGGUCCGAUAUUGCGCUCAUAUGCUUGUAUUCAUGCUUGUAAAAAUGCUCCAAAACCAAAAAACGACACAUCUGACAUACAAAUGUCAUUCUGAAACAUUCAGCGCACAAGUUAAAAUCACGUUAUAUCCUAGUGUGAUUAUUGAACCGUAAAGGCUGCGAUUUAAUUAGAUAAAUAUAUAGUUUGCAUGUUCUGGGCGCUUCAAGGUGAAUGUGUGGACACCGGCUGCUCAUGUCAUUUAGAGCUCCUUUGCUCAUACAAGGAAAACACCAUCAUGAACAUUGCGCUCUGUUUUUAUCAGAUGACAGCGAGCAGAGCGAUAAUUCACUUUGUAGCUACACUUGUAGCUACUUUGUAGGUACAUAACCUGAUAGUACACACACAUCACCCAGAUGUCUAUUUGAUGUGUGUGUUUACACAUCUGCAAAAAGUCUAUAAGAGAAGUGUCAGUAAUUAUAUCUUGGAUGACAUUAAGACAUUCAGCAGAUAUCUUUGAGACGUUUAUGAUUUAGAAUGUUUGUAAACCUCACUUACCAUCUAAUCUACCCAGACCUUGACAUCUGGCCUUGUUAGGAGAUGAUCAACGUUAUUCGCUUCACCUGUGAGUGGUCAUAAUAUUUUGGCUUCGGCUCCCCUUUAUCACUCUCUCCCGCUGAUUACAAGACUCAGCGCCGGCCGUGCACCCUCACAGCCCGACCCCGCCCUCCUCCUCAUCACACUCCUCCAUCACCCGACUCAGGUUGGGGAAACCCCCGGCAUGACACACUCCCCUCCCCUCUCUUCCUGGAGGGGGGGCGUUACCUUUCUAGCCAUGCCUGCCGGCAGGUCUUCCCUGCCUUUCUGGAGCCCUGUGAGAGAUGAGGGGAGGGAAAGAUGAGAGGGAAAGAUCAAGGCGGAGCGAGAGAGAGAGAGGAGAGAGAGAAAAACUUGCUUCCCGGCUCCCGGACGCACUGUUGCCGGGUGCUCAAACGCUCCUCCUCCCUCUGGCGGACACCAGCUCGCUCCUCCCCCAGCGGACGGCAGUGAGUCCUCCGGCCCCUGGUGGAUGGAACCGCUCCUCCCCUUCUUCAGCGGCCAGCAGCGACCCCUCCGUCCCCUGGCAGACGGCCGCGACUUCUCCUUUGGCGGACGGAAGUGGCGAGGACUCCGCGACAGCGGAUCCCUCCUCCUUGCUUGGUUUCGACACCACUGUAACAAUAUAAGGAUGGGCAAAGAGGAGGCGGGAACCGGCUGAACAGUCAAUGUAAGGUUUAAUGAUAAAACUCAACAUAAAACAAACAUGCAGCGCGGCCGCGUGCGUCUCUCUCUCUCGAACUGGCAUUUCCGGCUCGUCUUUAUCCCCCUCCCGGCUGAUUAGCCUGAUUCAGGACCGGCUGCGUGUCUUCACGGCCCAGCCCAGCCCAACGUGCAGCACAUUUUUAGGUUAACAUUUUUUCACUGUAUCUGAAGCAGAGCAUUAUUGCAAAGUAAGGCCUUUAUAAUAAUAAUGCAAAAAACUAUAAGCAUUAUUUCAAUUAUUGGUCUGCUUCUCAUUCAAACUAUGGCAGCAUCAAAUCUGUAUUAAUGCAUCACCCAAUAAUAAUUCAGUGAAGACUUUGAAAUCACUUUUUACCUUUAAUAUUUUUCAUCAUAUAUGUCCAUGUUGUCAUUAUUGAUGUGAGUGGGGGAAAUGAAAUGGGCUGCCCUGUAACAGUGUCACUUAAAGAUCCAGAUUCAGAUGAAAAGUGCGAAUUUGCGCAUAUGCGCGAGACUGCAAGUAUCUAAUGUGCGGUCAUAUUAGACUUUUCCACUUGCCAUGUGUUUGACAUAGCUAAUGUAGACUGCGGCUCGAACAGUAAGUGGAAAUAUUUGACUGCUGCCUUUAGUGGUUUGUCACACUAUAUUGUGCUAUGGGAGCUUAGCACAAGUAUGCCCCCGAACUUGACUGUAUUCUAGAAACACUGUAUCCCAUGACUACGCAUAAUUAUUAGAAAAUUUCUUAAAAAAAAUAAAAUAAAAUACCUACCUAACUGCUUCCCCUUCACAGGAUAUUUUAAAGGGUUCAAUUUCAUCUGUAUUAGCAGAGUAAUAGAAACCUGACCAAUCAAAUGUGUUAUUUUCACCUUGGGGGUUGAAUGGGUACCCGGUUUAUGCACUGUACACCACUGGAAAAAGAAGUCUUGUUAAUUUAUUGGCUUAGGUAAUAAUUUGUGUAGUACCGUAAUUUAUCAAACUAAGCUAAGCUAAGUUAUUUUUGUCCCUUUAAGAGUGUCUGCUAAAUAAAAUACCCUAAAUGUACAUAUGCAUUACCCUUACAAAAAAUCUAAAGUUCUGACAAACUUGCUGCUAACAGAUUUCCAACUCAUUAUUUUCACAUUCAAAUAAGCUUGCGAUUCUUUACCAGAAGUUUGAAGCUCUUCACCAGUAGUGGUGAACCUGCAGCAAAUCUUUGGCGACAGUUAAGAGUUUGCCACAAAGCUCAUUUGCAUGUGAAAAUAAUGAGUGUCAAAUUUGCGGAAUAUUUGCUUACCCAGGUUGUUUUCUUCCGAAUUUUCCCCAUCUAUAAAACUUGUAAAUAAUCCAUUGUUUUGUCUGCAUCCAAACAGCACAAACACAGCACACAUCCCCUAUCACCUCACAUGCAAUGAUCCCUCCCACUGUGAGAGUGAAGAUGAAUGUAACUCGUAUGAGAUUACCUAAGAGCUCAGUGAAGCACAGAAGUGUGUGUUUUCAAAGCAUACACUAAAAAAAGAUGGUUCUUCAAAGGUUCUUUACUGACCUUAAUAGUUCUAUUUAGAACCAUAUCUUCCUGAAGAACCCUUUUCUGCUGAAAUUGUUCUUUGCAUUGGGCAUUAGGGGUUCUUUAUUCCUGCCCUUUUGUUUUUUUUAAUAUAACGGUCAAUAAAUUCUUUCAAAGCCACCACGUCAUUGGUUGAUUCACAGCACUGGAGUCCUGGCAGCUCAACUGACAGCUACACAGACUGUGUCACCACAGGUAAACUUGAUAUAUAUUUUUUAAAAAUAUGUCACUGAAACAUUUUAACCAUUAAUAGUUUUAGCAGGAAAGCUUUCAGGGACAAAAAAUCCCAUUAGCUCAGUUAAAUGGGAGUGAGCAUUUGCUUAUUUUUCUUUUGCUUCACUCGCUGUUUUUGAAAGUGAAACCGUGGCGAAUAUAAAGUCUACGGUUUAUCGUAAAUGUGUUGUUUGGGAGCCAGAUUUUUUUAAGAGGCUGGCCAAAUUUGAAUGAUUUCAUGAUUUAUACCACUUUUGUUACUGCAAUGGCUUUAACUGUUCGUGUUGGGGAGAUCGCAUUUUCUCAGCUCAUUCACAUCAUAAAAAUCCUAGAAGAAUAUACAGUAAGCUGUAUGACAGAACUUUUCACAAGCUGUUAGUAUUUUAAGCAUUUGCAUGACUAAUUGCACAAAAAAAAAAAAAACAGUUAUUUUACUCAGAGCUUAUUAACUGUUAGAUCUAGAAAUGUAGCCCUACAUACUCCAAAUAAAAACCUGCAUCCAGUAAUUUUUUCAAAUAUAUUUAAUAACCUAUAAAGGGAAUUCAUGAUCUUACAACCUAGAGCUUAUGACGUCUGUUUUUCUCUCCCUGCAGGGCAGGAGACUGAUGGACCAACUUUAGUGCUUAUAACCUCUAAAUAAUCACAGAAUUAAUGAAACUACACCUGUAAUCAGAAAACAGACACUUUUCUCACUGCUUGAUAAAGGCAGCACAGCACAUGGAUCUCUGCCAGAAAAUGCAAGUGACUAACUCAAGAGGUAUCCAUCCCACCCAGGUAUGAUUCAUUGUCUGCUCUGGUAACAGCAUAUGCCUGCCUAAAAGCUAUCAGAUUAUUUAAAAGGUGAGGAUACUUCUCUCCGCUUCUCCACUAAGCACACAGACACUGUUGGACCCAACAUCCUCAUUACCUGCAGAGAGGGGCUGCCACUCAAAUACACCAAAAUUCACAGUGAUGGAUGAAGACACCAUAGAGGAUUGUGCAGAUAUUUUAGUGAAGCCUUCAGUUUAGUUUAGCCUUCAUUACAUCUGUUUUGUUUUUCCAUGGGAUGUUGUUUUUCCUUGAAAUAUUGUUUGUCAGUAUGAAAGAAAAAUACUCUCUAUAUAAAAGAUAAAAAAAUUUACAAGUUUUUAUCCCAGCCUUAAUGUGUGGAGCAAUGUUGGGGUCUGCUAUUUCAUUUGAAUAAGCAUUUAUUGUCUCUUUCACGUUAUGUAUUUGUUGAUGUAUCUAUGAAUUAAGUGAUUUAUGCAUUUGAAUCAUUUAAUCACAAUAAUGUAUUAAUGUAUUCAACUAAUGACUGAUGUAAAAGCAUUGUUAUUUUGUUUUUCUACAAUUUUUCAUUUAAAUAGAAAAUAAAAGUUCUUAAUUGACACACAUGCCUUGCUUUUAUUUGUUUGUUUGGUUGGUUAUAUUUAAUGUAAAACCAUAAUUUAUGUUAUA